CUUCUCGAACCUGAGUUUAUAUGCUCGUGUAAAUAUGAAGAGGAGUUCGAUUAGGUGAUGUCUGGAUCCCUGCAAAGCUAAAAGUUCCAAAGGGUAGAAGAAAACAAGAUCGGGGCCAGACUUUGCAGAAGACGGUUCCCGGAAGGACCCCGGUUUAGUCCUUCCUCCACCCUCCACCGAGUCUGCCUGUACCUGUGAAGUGUGUGCAUCCUAAACAGUCAACCUUGUCCAUGCACCUCUUAGGAAGGCAUAUUGUGUGAUGGGGGUUGUGAGUUUAUUGGUGGUGUCUAAAGAACCCCCAGAACUUUCAAAAUAAUAGCGUAGUUUAUUCAACACGGGAUUAAUCGUUUUCUGAUCCAAUAAGAGCACAGUGGCAUAAGGGAAAUGAAGCAAGCAUCAAAGGCAGCUGUACUGGCACAAGAUAAUAAUGAUGAUACAGCAGAUGUUAAAGAAACUGAUAGCAGAGGCUGGAAGAAGGAAACCCAUGCUUUGCAGUGGCAAAAUAAUUGGUAAAACUGUUACCUGUGAUAAUUGAAAACCAUAACACCUAUCUAUUGAGGCUGUAGUCCAGAGGAAUAAUUCAAAGUUAUAGUGUAUUUUGAAUUUUACUUUUAGAUAGAUUUUACUAAAGAGAUAAGCUUUGUAAAUAAAGAAAUUAAAGUGCAUAAGAAAUUUGGAAGGAUUAGUAAAGGUGACAUUUUCUAGACCUCAAACGGUUAAAAAAAAAAAAUGAAACGAGAAGGCCUUGCAUACAGUUUCUUUUAAGAUUUAGUUCUGAAUCAAAGAUCAAAUGAAAGCUUUGGCCUUCCCAUCCAAGACCAUUAUGUUGGCUGGGAUGAUGUUUUAGAGAAAUUGACAUGGGCAAGGAAGCAAAGAAGUAAUUGAGUUUUGGCAAUUAUAUAAGAAAGAACUUUGGGAGUAAUUACUAGAAGCAAAUAUGUAUAUAUAAAAGGCAAAUAUGCAAAAUGUCCCUUCUGGAGUUCCACUGGGAGUUUGAUCGCUUGCUAUGACAUGCACUGACCACCAGGGGGGUAGCAAGGAAUGAAGGCAGGCCCCGGCUGGCAACAUGAAGGCUCCAAUCAGCCCUGAAAUCUGGCCAGGCCUAGGGACCUCGCCCAUGCUCAUAUUUCAUGCACUGGGCCUCUAGUAUAUCAUAAGACUUAAUUUCUGAAGGAAUUUUAUUACUGAUCAAAUCACGAGCCUGGCCCUGGCUGCUUUUGCCUGGCGUAUGCACCAAAGAGUUGUGGGUUGGAUUCCCAGUCAAGGGCAUGCACCUGGGUUGCAGGUUUGAUCCCAGCCCCAGUA